rnacentral:Y_RNA from 1 species
GGCUGGUUCAAGUGCAAUGGUUGUUUACAACUAAUUGAUCACAACCAGUUACACAUGCCUUUGCUCCUUCUCCACUCCCACUGCUUCAUUUGACUAGACUUAA